CUAUGACAGAGUUGCCUAAAUCUUCCCAUUGCCUUCUGAGUGACGGUCCCCACUCCCUAGCUGCCAAGACCCACCUGCUAUCCCCCGACUCUUCCCACCUCUCACUGGGCUAGCCCCCCUGCUAACUCUGGGAGCAACUCCACCAAACCUCUCCUGUUUCCUUCCAGCACCUCCUCCCCCAAACAAACCCUGUUUCCAAACCCUCUACAGGCUCAAACCUUCCUAUUACCACUCUGGUCUGCCUCACUUUCUAGAGGCCUGGAGAAGUACCCAACCACGUUCCAGCAACGCCCACCCUCCCAAAAAAGGGUCUCAAUCAGAUCCCAGCAAAAGACAUUACUGCUAUGCUUUUUCCAGUGACAUUAAAACCUUUCCACUGCCUCCCUAACUUGCUACACAUCUGAGCUGGCAGCCCUCCUUUUGCCAUCAUCCACCUCCCAGCUGUCACAACCCUACAGACAAGCCAGUGACAUUCCCCCACUGUUCUCCAUACCACCAUUUCUAAAGACAGAAUUAAAUUAAUGUAUUCCUACUACAAGCACCACUCUCUGCAACAUAAUUUUCAUGAUGAUUUUCUUCUCCUCAGGGUUAUUUAAGAAAAGAGCAAAAUUCUAGCCUACUAUCCAUUGUGAGACCCCAAGUUAGUCAGUAUUUGGUCAAACAUUUGUACCCUCGCUCCCAACCAGAUACGCCAGCUAGGGACUGCCCAAUCGCUAGAAAUUAUUGCUUCAUCUUUCUUCCCUUUAUACUCUUGAACAAUUUCAAACCAGACUAGUGCUGGAAAAACCUCAAAAGUGCAGGAGUUUGGCUGCGUUUCAAAGGGUCUGAUCACUUAUGUGCACUCCGUUCCUUUCUCAUUUCUCCAUGUUGCAGCCUUCUCCCUCUGACCCUUCUUAAUUCUUUCUCGAUUCAACCAACUUUCUCCCUUCCCCUGGGCCUAUCUUUCCCUUUAUGUGAGCCAGCUCCCUCUCACUCAUCUUCAACGAACCCCUGGUUGGCCAUGCUGUCUUGCUGAGCUUGCCUCAUCUCUCCCCGACUCCCAGAAUGUGCUUCAAAUUCAUUAGGAAUUUAAAGGGCAGGGUAUAAAGACCUCACUUUCAUAUGGCUAGCUGUAGCAACAAAGAAAACAGGUGACAUUUCAAAAUGGGGGGUUGAAAAUUUACUUGAACUUUUUAUGUAGGUUAGCUGCGAAGACAUGGAUCGCUGUCAAGGUUACAAUUUUGCACACUCAAAAGUUAGGCAAUGCAGACAUUAAGGGUAUCAUAGUAAUGUAACUCACCUACAUAUAUGGCCAUAUCAUGUCAUUGACAGGACCAAGUUUUGCCCCCAGAUACUGCUGUGAUGCUCCCCAACCCCCAAAGCAAUAGGGGUUGAGCAUAUGUACCUGGAGUUAGAAUUGAGCUCUUUGAUGAACCCAUCUCUUCCGCCUGCUUGGCCAGCCAUGUCCCCAUCCCAACCAGCCCGUCCUCACAAGGGGCCUGAUCCAACGUGCACUGAAGUCAAUUGGAGUCUUUCCACUGACUUCAGUGGGCUUUGGAUCAGGCCCAGAGUAUAGUAUGCAGUAGAACUUAAAAAAAACAGAAGUGUUGGACAUUUUAUAAAAAGUGCUCCUCUGAGGGGGGUAGGGGAUAUGGCCUAUAGUAUUAAAGAAGUCAGAGAGAAUAGAUACAUACAUUCAGCUCAGCAACAAGAUAUCUCUACCUAUUUUACCUUUCUUGUGACUGUCUUGUUAAAAGUAAAAUCCCAGUUUAGUUACUAUAUAAUUUGCUUCACUUUUUAAAAAAUGAAAGCCUGGUGACACUCACAUUUUUAGCACAUGUGGAAGCAAAACAGUUAAACUGCUAACCAAUAAUGUUUUGUAAUUCAUAUGAGAGCCAAGAAGAUUAAUGAAAUGUUCAUGAGAAAGGCUGGCAAAAGGCCACAUUCCUAUGGGAACAUUGCUGCAGUGAGGUUUAACGGAUCACGAUGGACAUUAAGAAACAAAUGUGUGGGAGUUUUAGGGUGAACUGUAAAUGAUCAAGAAUCUAGUAAAAAUAUAGGAUACAAUAUAUCUGUAACAUGCUCAUCUCUUUAUCUAAAAUCUGUGAUGAAGAUGGCAGUUUGCAUCCAAAGAACAGCUGUUAAGUUACUGAGUUUUGCUGGCUUCUUUGAAAGUUACAGCAGAUGCAACUUCAUUAAAGGAACUGCUGCAACAAACUACAAUAUCUCAGCCUGACCAGCAGCUUUUCCCCCUUUCUACUGUGCAAGAACUCCCUAUCAAGGCUUAAUCCACCACCCUUCCUAAAUCCUGCAUUUGCUUUUAAUUCCAUACAAUUGCAUUAUUUUUAUUCUUUUUAACUAACCAGUGAUAAACUGCACAGGUACAAUGCGAUUUCUGUUUUUGCUGUCUAACCACCUCCCUAUUGCAUACUUGUGUUUUUGAAAUACAUCCAUGAGACCAUGUGAAUCCACUAACAUUCUGUAUUUAAAUUUAGUUCCGUGGAUUAGUGAAUGCUAUAUUUAAUCAAAGAGAGGAGGACAAGCUAAGUUUCUGCAGUUUGAGAUGACAAACUGCAUGUUAGUUAUUUUCCUAUAACCAUACUGAGAAAUAGACUUGGGACUAUUGAUUUCCAUUAGAAAAGAGCAAGGUAACCAUUAGGAAAUUUAUUAAUUUUACAGUAUGUCUGUCAAAGGUGUCCUAAUUAUCUAAAAUAAUCAUCAUUGACGAUCAUGGAUGAUAAGUUUUAUUCAUUAAAUUAAAGGAAACCUGUGUUCUUACUUACCUUUCCACUAGAUGGCAAUAGUACAUGGUAGUUACAUGUAUUUUAGACUAUUUAGUUAAUCAUUUAAGAGGUGAAUGUUUUUAUAAGUUUGGAUAUCUCAUUAAAGCAGGACAUUAGCAACACUACAGUAUGCUGAUUGCUGUCUCAGUAGAGAGCUAUCUUGAAUAGCAGAAUGAAUUUUCUUUCUUUGCAUAAUAUAAAUGCAAUAUAUAGAUUCAAAUGUACCAAUAUGCAGAAUAAGAAGAACCAAUACUUCUCCGUGAUGGCUGGCACAUUUAACAACAAUAAUAUGUAUGACGCUUACUAUUUCAUACUGGAUAAGGGACUUCAAUUAUAUUAAAUUUAAGGGACAAAUCAACCUCUGAUGUCAUUCUGUGGACUUCAAUGGAAUUCGCUAGGGGUGGAUUUGGCUCCAGGGCUUUGGAUCACAAAAUAGAAGAAAAAAGGAGCACAUACUACUGGAUGAGAAGGGGAACAGAGUAAUCUUUCCAGAGUGAGUCAGAACAUCAUCUGAAAUGGGACACGGCAGCAUGAGCCGGCAGCAGACUCGUUCUGGGCAGUGUGCCCUAAAAAGACAAGAAGCCUUUCUGAUCUAUGGGGUUUUCAGUUACUGAGACAAACCUUUGCAUCAGAGACUCAACAGCCCCCCGGACCAGUGGCCGGACCUGGGCAGUGUGAGUGCCACUGAAAAUCAGCUCGUUGCUGCCUUUGGCACGCGUGCCAUCAGUUGCCUACCCCUGAAUUAGAUAAUGUUUGUAAUGUGUUUCGAAGAUGAAAAGUUAUCUACAUGCUCAUUGCUAUUAUAUGAAAGAAGGAGAAGAUGGACUCAUACUUUAUUUUCUGUGCAGUAACAAUUCUGGCAAUUGUAUUUUUGUUAGUUUCUUCAUGGUCUCAGUGACUUUUUUUCCUUUCUUUUGGUCAAGACUGGAUAAAGUUACAGAGCCUGGCUCAGCUGCCAAAGCCCCCGGUUUCAUACUGUUUUUAAACUGAGUCAGACUUGAUAAAGGUUUUAUUUCCUUGUUUAUUUUAAUAAAUGUUUAAUUGACGAGGUAACUUUAAAGUAUAUAUGCCUUUUUGGCCUAUAACAUUGUCUGUAUCCCUUAAAUUGAUGUAUCUGAUGCUAUCAGUCCUGGUGACCUGGUAACAAGAAGCAUAUUAAUGUAAAAUGAGAACAUAAGUGGAUUGUUCAGAUUAAAAUGCUGA